AUGAAAUCAUGCUGGAACCUUGGUAUAUGUACAGAAAACAGGACUUGUACAAUAGAAAACAUAUUAUUACGAAUGUUUUAGAGGGUUAUACAUUUUUUCGUUAUGCAAAACUUAAUUGUAAAUUCUUUGCACCUGGAAUCUAUCAAAUAUUCUGUGAAACAUUUUGCUAUACUGACAAGAACUACUGUAAUGAUGGCAAUGUUCACUUAGAUACCUCAUCAAUACUUACAGAGGAUAUGAAUCAAAAUAAAGAGUUGAAUGAUGACUAA
rnacentral:lncRNA from 1 species